rnacentral:rRNA from 1 species
GUCUACGGCCAUACCACCCUGAACGCGCCCGAUCUCGUCUGAUCUCGGAAGCUAAACGGGGUCGGGCCUGGUUAGUACUUGGAUGGAAGAAUACAAGAUAAUUUUUAGUAGCAUAUUGCCA